CUGGUGCUGCCUUUGACCAACACCUAGCUAGGCAACUCCAGAGAUGACUAUCUUAACAUCCCUGGAACUUUGUCUCCACGGACUUCACCUCAGUCCUGCCCGUCUCAGAUCAUCCCAAAUGCCUUAUGUGGAUUAUUUCACUUAGCACUCAAAAACCCCUGUGAGUGGACAUUGCUGUCUUCUCUGAUAGAGUCUCACUCUGUUGGCCAGACUGCAGUGCAGUGGCGCCAUCUUGGCUCACUGCAACCUCCGUCUCCUGAACUCAAGCAAUUCUCCUGCCUCAGCCUCCUGAGUAGCUGGAUUACAGGCAUAUGCCACCACGCCCAGCUAAUUUUGAUUUCUUUGUGUCCACCAACACCUGAAGACGAUCUUCCAAGGAAACGCACCUUGGCUCCAGUACCACAAGUUAGAAGUUCAUUGGGAAGAGCUGAAGCAAAUAUAGCAAAAUGUUGACAUCCAAUUAUGACCUCAAAGCCUCGACUCAGUGGCUGCUGGGUUCCGUUUUCAAAGCCCCUGAAUCCUCCCAACCUCUUCUCUGGCCUUUGAUGUCACGUAGUCUUCAAUUUCACCAGAAGACUUAAGCCUUAAGUCCCCACUGUGGAGUGUCAUCCAGGGUUCUCUCCAGCUAUCUGAUGGAACUGUCUAGUUGCAGGAAAACAAGCUCAGGGCUCCCACUGAUUCUACAUUAUGGUGAGUUGUAUAAUUAUUUCAUUAUAUACUAAAAUGUAAUAACAAUAGAAAUAAAGUGCACAAUAAAUGUAAUGCACUUGAAUCAUCCAGAAACUAUCCCCUCCCCCCAUUCACAGAAAAAUUGUCUUCCACCAAAC